ensembl:lncRNA
GCGGCGCACCGCGGGCUUUGCUGCACGGCCGGGCGGUUCCGGCAUCGGCCCGCAGCGUCCUGCGCUGCUCCCCGCCCCAGAGAAACGGCUCCGACGGUUCCUUGGAGUCGAGAGCUUUAUUGGUACAGGGGCGGCUCGGUGACGCGCGUGCAGCCCCGUCCUUCGUGGAGGGCACCGAAGGGCUGUAGCGGCGUGAAAGGCACUGGGCGGCGUCCGCCCGCAGGGGGCUGUGACCGAGGGGUCGGCCGUCUGCCCCGGCCCCGCGGGAGGGGGCGUUUCCUGGGCCGGUCCCUCCACCGCCCCGCAUCGGGGCCGCCCGGGGGGUCCCACUCGCGGCCGCGGCCCCGUACCUCGUCCCUGGCUCCCGCGGGGCUGCGGCUCCGCUCGGGGUCGGGCUGUCUCCAGGUGCAGAGCCGUGGCCCCAAGAACAGUAUUUCCAGGAAUCCCCAACGUAGCGCCUAAGGGAUUCCUGGGAAAACUGGACCCUGAGAGCACGGCGACCGCGGCUCCCAGCGGCCCCCGCCCUGCACAGCUGCUCCUCUGGCCGCUCUGUGUGUGACCCCGCUGUCCCCACGCAGCAUUCGUGCCCCCCCCCCCCCACAGAGCUGGGAGCUCUGGGAGUCCUGACCAGGCGUAGGGGUGUUCCUCUGCCUCAAAGCAAACCUCUCCUCCUCUGCCCUUCCCUCGCAGGAUACAGAGCAGAGGGGUGAGCCCUGCCCCAUGGCUGGGGGUCAGCAGCCCCUAUGGGAUCUUCAGGGGGACACGCUGCGUGUCUGCAGGCUCCGUUCUCUGUGCUUCUCCAUCAGAGGCAGUGUCCAAAAACACGGCUGGGAGAGCCCCUUCUCCCACAGUUGGGGACCCAGCCCCAGAGACAGCGGGGGGGGGGGGGGCUGCAGGGCAGACCCCCACAUCCAGUCACACGCUGUGCUCCCGUCUCACUGCGCAGUUCCCAUGUUCCGCUGGCAUCAGUGCUCCCAGCAGGCGGCAGUCCGGGGGGUGGCGGGGUCCCAGGGCACAGUUCCUCCCUUCCCGAGCUACAGUGCUUCAUCUCAGACUCCCAAUUGACCAGAGAUGCAGCACUGCACCUUGGGCUGGGAGACAUGGAGGAGCCCCCAGCUGCUCUCGAUGUGUGCUGUGCCACGCAUGGCUGUGUGUGGCUGUUCCGCCAGGCAUCGCGGCUGCAGGAUAGAUGAGGCUGGGGGCUGGUGGGGGGGAUGGGGCUGGGCUGGCUGCGGCAUCGCACAGAUAAACCUCUGUGCUUGGAGAAGGGCUGCACACCGCCCACUGCCGCAUCCCAACUGUGCGUCUGUGGGGCUGUAGGACCCGGAACCUGGCCCAGCACUGGGGAGUCCCUGCCUGUAGUCUCAAACUACAUGGAUGUGACUGCUGGGGUGGCUGUACAGUAUGGGGCCAGGACGCCCCCGAGGUGAUGUGGGAUGCAGGUCUCACACAGUACAUUCUCCCUGCACUCUGUUCCUUUAUGUCCCCUGGGGGAUGAGGAGCAUGUGCAAGCCCUGCAUAGCCCUGUCCCUGUCUCCAUUCCUGUCCUCACCAGAGGAGCCUGCAGCUCCUCUGUGGGAAGGCUUCAGUGCUGGUCCUGGGAGCUCAGCCACAGGCAGGGCUGGAGGCUGUGGGACGGACACCCCCACCCCCCCGUGUGGGCUCAAGGGAGAGGGUCUGGGGAGAGAAGGAGGAGGAGAGGAUGGAGGGAGCAGCCGAGCACAGAAACAUCUCUUGCAGGCGAGCACUAACAUCCUGAGUAGCGCUAGAGCAUGAUAAACACACCAUCCAUCACAGCCAUGUCCCACUGCCGGCCCUGGAGCCGCGGUGCUCCCAGCAGCCUGACAAGAAGCAGAUGGUGCAGCUCCAGCACGGCUCCCUGCAUCCGGCAUGGCCCCCCCUGAGCGCACCCAGCUGGGAAAUGGGCACCCACAGCCUCUGCUCGCUCCACGCUCCCCCACCUGCCACCCCCCAGCUCCGCAGCCCCGAUUUAUUGGGAGAAAAGAAAGGGAAGAGGCUCACAGUGCCCCAAACUCCAUGCACAGAUCACGGCGUGAGUCACCCGGGAGGGAUGUCUGGGAGCCGCCUCUGCCAGUGCUGGCUGUCCCUGCUCCCAGCUCAGGCCAGGCCAGCCCUGAGCACUGGCCAAGUGUGGGAACAGCCACAGGGCUCAGUGCCAUGGGGCAGCACUGCUCACAGGCCCCUCCUGACGGCCCGCUGCCCCAUGGCAGAGCUCAGCCUCCCAGCCCCAUGCAUUCCUUGUGAGCAGCUCCUUGGGAAGGGACCAGACUGCUUUCAGCACGAAGCUACCCCAGGCUCAGCACUGCCCAGGGAGCCAGCCCUGUUCAGGGGGCUGCUGGGUUUGUGCGUGCUGCUGCCAGCGCCCAAAGGGCAACCAGUGCAGGCAGUAUGCUGGCACACCAGCUCUGCCCUUCUCUCGCUGUCCGGGGAUGUACAGUCUCUGUUCACCUCCAGCAUCUCCAGUGAUGGCUGUGUCCCUGGGUACUCCCAUGGCCAAGGCUGUAAAAGACAGAGGGCGGCAGUCAGUGUGGAGCUGUGUGGGGCAGUGAGCUUUGGGGUCUCUGCAGGUAGCCCCUCGGUUGCCCGGCACCCCAAUGCACUGCGGGCAGUUUCCUGGUGCAGCACCACAACUGGGGAUUCAGGUCUGAUGUGAAGCAGGGGGCGAUCAGACACAUGGAGAGUGCCAUGCAUCCCUUGUAGGGCAAAGCACAGCCCAUCUCCUGCCUGGCCCAGCACGCCCACCCCCCAGCUCUCCUCCCACUGCCCAUCACCACCCAGCCUCGGGCUCCCUUCCCCAUGAGCCAGACAUCGCCCAGCCCUGACUGUGCCCCGCCAGCAUGACAGGGUCCCCAAGCCACACCGGCAGCUCAGUGCACACACAAAGCUUUGCAAUGAGCACAGCAUUCAGAACCUCCUUUCUCAGAUGGGGAUCUUCUCCGGCACAGCCAGCUGUCCCCCUUGCAGCAGCGCCGGUGAACUCCCUGCCAAAGCCGGGUACAGCAGGCAGCUGACGUUUGGGCACGGAGCCUCUGUUCAGCUUCAGCCCAGUACACCCUGCUCCAUGCACUGUCCCCAGCCCCAGAGAGCCAGCAGAGGUGCCUUGCCCCAACCCUGCGUGGGAGGCCUGGGGACGGCCCCAUCCCCCACUGCCACCACCCCGACAGGCCCUGGCCAGUUCAGUGGGAAAGGCUGGAAUGGAGACUCCUCCCUGCCUGCAGUGUGGGGCCGGGGACCUCAGCUGCUGUCCCCAGGGAGUUGUUGGUGGGGGAAGGAAUGCCAUGGAAGGCCGAGGAAUGCACCAGGCUGUGCAUCCAUCCCACCGGGCUGGGAAGCAAAACAUCUUCUGGGAGCUCACUCUGCCCGGAGGGGGUCAUGGAGAAGGAGGUGCCCCCGUCUCUGUUGUGGUCUCCACGUUCUCAAGAGGGGCAAAAAGCCCAGCGUGGCGAGGCCUGCCCCGUCCCCUUCUUUCUGCUCUCGUUUCCCAGUUUCGCAUGGAAGCAGGGCUCACCCCGGUGUGCAUAUGGCUGCCACCCCCCGCGCCCCACACUCACACUGCUGCCUGUGAGAACUGCUGAGCGCAGUGCCCGGGGGCAGCGCAGCCACCAAAGUGCGGCCAGGCAGGGGGCUCUGCCCCUCCGACACACAUUGCCGGAGCCCAGCGCUCGACCCUCCCAGGGUGACAGCGUAUGAGGAGGGUCAGCCCGCAGGCAUCGCUGCUGCCCCCGGCCGUGCCGUGGGAACACUCAGAGCGGUAUCCCUCAGCCUUCCCACAGCCCCCGG